UAGUUUGAACAGUGCUAUAGUGCAUUUGUUUUAUGUAACAUGAAUACCUUCCAGUCAGGGGAUAGCUGCUAUUUUACUGUUGGUGUGUUAUAUUGCAUUCAACAGUUAACAAAUCAAAGGUAUCCACCCAGUCAGGCUUUUGGUGGAUGGCGUGGUUUGUAGUGCAGCUUAAUGAAUUACAGCUAAAUGAUAAAGUCCGCAGAUAGCCAUGAUAGAGAGUACAGCAGGCAGUGAAGAAAGAGCAGCCAGUCUCUUCUUUCAUGCAAUGGUCGCUGAAGGGAGCUGAGGGGCGGGAUCUGAGUGGGAUGGGGAAGUGGGCAGAUUGGCUGUUACACUGUGUGGCUGUACAAAGGUCCCUGCAUUUUAAAAGCAGAGGCUUCAGAUUGUGCUUCUACUACAGACCAGGCCCAGAAGCAGAGGAGUAAUAUCCUUCUAGUAGAUAAUAACAAUGGUGGUAACUAAGUCAUGGACCAUGGUGAGGCAUUUUGAGGGUGCACCAAAAGCUGAAGAUUUUAAGUUGAUAGAGAAAGAGUUGCCAACCCUAAAAGAUGGUGAGGUGCUACUCGAAUCUGAGUUCUUAAGUGUCGACCCAUACAUGAGGUAAUUUGAAUUCAUGCAAGUAUAUGGUGUGUAUACCUUACAGAGAUGCUGGGAGUUGUAGCUCGACAGAUUUCACACUCCAGGUGUUUCUAUCUCUGGAUUCACUUUUUCUUUUAUUCAUAGGCAGGACAAACCAUAGAGUCUCCAUUUGAAGCUUAAACAAAUCGGGUAAAUAAAUAGGUUAUGCAAA